rnacentral:rRNA from 1 species
AUGGAGGACAUUGAAUUGGUUAUUAACUCUGCUAACUUGAAUUCUGCAUCGGGUCCGGAUGGUUUCUCUAUCCCGUUCUUCGGGCGAUUUUGGCCAGCCUUGUGUUCUUUGGUUUGUGCUGUUAUUCAAGGUUUUUGUUUGGGGACUGUUAACAUAUCUAGACUUAAUUAUGUCAUCUUAUCUCUCAUCCCUAAAGUCAAGGGUGCUGAUACGAUCUCCCAGUUUCGCACGAUUGCUCUGAUCAAUAACUUUGCCAAGUUCCCUGCUAAGAGGUUUGUGACGAGACAGUCUCGUGUAGCUCAUCGGACUAUUAUCCCUACCCAAUCUGCUUUCAUUAAGGGUAGAUACAUUUUGGAUGGUAUUCUUUGUUUACAUGAGAUCAUGCACGAUCUUAGGAUGAGAGGGUCUCGUGCUCUUAUUCUUAAGCUCGAUUUUGAGAAGGCUUAUCACUCGGUUAGCUGGACUUUUCUUCAACAAAUUCUUCUUGCCAAGGGGUUUGAGGCUGCCUAUGUCCAUAGGCUGAUGCGGCUUGUCUCUAGUGGGCACAUUGUUGUUGCAGUGAAUGGCUCCAUUAGUAAUUAA